rnacentral:lncRNA from 1 species
AUCAAUCGGGAUUACCUAAUCGAUUAUCUCAAGAGGGUUCAUCUUUCUUAAUUUUACCCUUACCCUUUUUACUGCUACUAGCGAUUGAUAAUGGCGGAAGAAAUCAAAAAGAAGGCAAGAAGGUGGAAGGAGAAAAGCCUAAUCUGAAAGCUAAAGGACCUAGAGAUCGCAAAGAUACGAAGGAGUUGAUUCCCUAGGGCCUUCAACAUCUACU